CGGAGGGGCGGCUGCUUAACAUGCAAGUCGAACGGCAGCGGGGGUGCUUGCACCUGCCGGCGAGUGGCGAACGGGUGAGUAAUGCAUCGGAACGUACCCAGUAGUGGGGGAUAACUUACCGAAAGGUAAGCUAAUACCGCAUACGCACUGAGGUGGAAAGCAGGGGACCUUCGGGCCUUGUGCUAUUGGAGCGGCCGAUGUCGGAUUAGCUAGUUGGUGAGGUAAAGGCUCACCAAGGCGACGAUCCGUAGCUGGUCUGAGAGGAUGAUCAGCCACACUGGAACUGAGACACGGUCCAGACUCCUACGGGAGGCAGCAGUGGGGAAUUUUGGACAAUGGGCGCAAGCCUGAUCCAGCCAUGCCGCGUGAGUGAAGAAGGCCUUCGGGUUGUAAAGCUCUUUCGGCCGGGAAGAAAUCGGUGAGGCUAAUAUCCUCACUGGAUGACGGUACCGGAAUAAGAAGCACCGGCUAACUACGUGCCAGCAGCCGCGGUAAUACGUAGGGUGCGAGCGUUAAUCGGAAUUACUGGGCGUAAAGCGUGCGCAGGCGGUUUUGUAAGACAGGCGUGAAAUCCCCGGGCUCAACCUGGGAACUGCGCUUGUGACUGCAAGGCUAGAGUACGGCAGAGGGGGGUGGAAUUCCACGUGUAGCAGUGAAAUGCGUAGAGAUGUGGAGGAACACCGAUGGCGAAGGCAGCCCCCUGGGCCGAUACUGACGCUCAUGCACGAAAGCGUGGGGAGCAAACAGGAUUGGAUACCCUGGUAGUCCACGCCCUAAACGAUGUCAACUAGGUGUUGGGUGGGUAAAACCAUUUAGUACCGUAGCUAACGCGUGAAGUUGACCGCCUGGGGAGUACGGCCGCAAGGUUAAAACUCAAGGAUUGACGGGACCCGCACAGCGUGAUGAUGUGAUUAUUCGAUGCAACGCGAAAACCUUACCUACCCUUGACAUGUCCAGAACCCUUGAGAAGA
rnacentral:rRNA from 1 species